rnacentral:rRNA from 1 species
GCGUAGGGAUCUACCUUCUGGGGGGAGUAGCCGGACGAAAUACGGAUUAAUACCGCAUAAGACCUAAGGUGAAAGGGACCGAUUCUUGAAAGACUCUUGCCGGAAGAUGAACCUGCGUUAGAUUAGCUAGUUGGUGGGGUAAGUGGCCUACCAAGGCGACGAUCUAUAGCUGGUCUGAGAGGAUGAUCAGCCACACUGGAACUGAGACACGGUCCAGACUCCUACGGGAGGCAGCAGUGGGGAAUAUUGGACAAUGGGCGCAAGCCUGAUCCAGCAAUACCGCGUGUGUGAAGAAGGCUC